AACCUCCGCAAUGUGAGAAAUCGCGACGGGGGGAUCCCAAGUGCCAUUCUUAACGGGAUGGCUUUUCAUUAGUGUAAAGAGCUUUUGGAAUAAGAGCUGGGCAAGACCGGUGCCAGCCGCCGCGGUAACACCGGCAGCUCUAGUGGUAGCAAUUUUUAUUGGGCCUAAAGCGUCCGUAGCCGGUUUAAUAAGUCUCUGGUGAAAUCCUGCAGCUUAACUGUGGGAAUUGCUGGAGAUACUAUUAGACUUGAGAUCGGGAGAGGUUAGAGGUACUCCCAGGGUAGAGGUGAAAUUCUGUAAUCCUGGGAGGACCACCUGUGGCGAAGGCGGCUAACUGGAACGAACCUGACGGUGAGGGACGAAAGCUAGGGGCGCGAACCGGAUUAGAUACCCGGGUAGUCCUAACUGUAAACGAUGCGGACUUGGUGUUGGGGUGGCUUUGAGCUGCUUCAGUGCCGAAGGGAAGCUGUUAAGUCCGCCGCCUGGGAAGUACGGUCGCAAGACUGAAACUUAAAGGAAUU
rnacentral:rRNA from 1 species